GCAAGUCGAACGAUGAAACCAAGCUUGCUUGGUGAAUUAGUGGCGAAAGGGUGAGUAACGCGUGAGUAAGCUGCCCUCAAGUUGGGAAUAAUUCUCCGAAAGGAGGACUAAUACCGGAUGUGGUUAUAGGAACGCAUGUUUUUAUAACUAAAGAUUCAUCGCUUGAGGAUGUGCUCGCGUCCCAUUAUGUUUGUUGGUGAGGUAACGGCUCACCAAGACUAUGACGGGUAGGUGGUCUGAGAGGAUGGUC
rnacentral:rRNA from 1 species